AACUUUCGGCAAUGGAUCACUUGGUUCUGGCAUCGAUGAAGAACGCAUCGAAAUGCGAUAAGUAAUGUGAAGUGCAGAAUUCAGUCAAUCAUCGAAUCUUUGAACGCACAUUGCGCCCCUUGGUAUUCCGAGGGUCAUGCCUGUCCGAGCGUCAUUUCCACCCUCAAGCAUAGCUUGGUCUUGGGCUUCGCCGCUAACCCGGCGGGUCUUAAAACCAGUGGCGGUGCCGUCGGGCCCUGAGCGUAGUAAAUCUCCUCGCUAUAGGGUCCCGGUGGAUACUGGCCAACAACCCCCAAUUUUCUAUGGUUGACCUCGGAUCAGGUAGGGAUACCCGCUGAACUUAAGCAUAUCAAUAAGCGGAGGCU
rnacentral:misc_RNA from 1 species